rnacentral:rRNA from 1 species
GAUGAACGCUGGCGGCGCGCCUAACACAUGCAAGUCGAACGGUUAAAGCACCUUUUAGGUGUGUAUAAAGUGGCGAACGGCUGAGUAACACGUGGGCAACCUGCCCUCCUCUUGGGGAUAGCCUCGGGAAACCGAGGAUAAUACCCGAUACUUCAAUGUGGCCGCAUGACGACAUUGAGAAAGCUUUUGCGGAGAAGGAUGGGCCCGCGGCCUGUUAGCUUGUUGGUGGGGUAGAGGCCUACCAAGGCAAUGAUGGGUAGCUGGGUUGAGAGACCGACCAGCCAGAUUGGGACUGAGACACGGCCCAGACUCCUACGGGAGGCAGCGGUGGGGAAUCUUGCACAAUGGGCGAAAGCCUGAUGCAGCGACGCCGCGUGCGGGACGAAGGCCUUCGGGUUGUAAACCGCUUUCAGCAGGGACGAGGCGAAAGUGACGGUACCUGCAGAAGAAGCCCCGGCUAACUACGUGCCAGCAGCCGCGGUAAUACGUAGGGGGCAAGCGUUAUCCGGAUUCAUUGGGCGUAAAGCGCUCGUAGGCGGUCUGUUAGGUCGGGAGUUAAAUCCGGAGGCUCAACCUCCGCCCGCUCCCGAUACCGGCAGACUUGAGUUUGGUAGGGGAAGGUGGAAUUCCUAGUGUAGCGGUGGAAUGCGCAGAUAUUAGGAAGAACACCAGUGGCGAAGGCGGCCUUCUGGGCCAUAACUGACGCUGAGGAGCGAAAGCUAGGGGAGCAAACAGG